UUUUAUUAGAAUGUACCCAGCAGUUACAUGUAUUACGUGGAGAUAAUUUAUUUGAUUUUUUUAUUAACCUGAUUUUUAAGAUUGUCAUCAGAUUUCCGAUUCUUUACUUCGUCAUUUCCUGAUUAGUGAGUGUGACGCUGAAGUCCUUGCAGCAUUUGGUGUCGUUGUCCUAGGUGUCCGCUCUUCUCGUUGUUGUCAUUAGGAUUCAAUUAAUAAAAUAAAUGUAAGUUAAAGCUACCGUAUCACUUCCAAUUUGAGAUGUACUUUAGUGUGUGUUUCCAAAGUUAAAAUUAAGGCGCGUCUUCAAUUUGAGGGACGUCAUUGUCACACCUCAUAAGACCUUCUGCAGCCAAAGAAAUAGCAGGAAAUAUGCUCAUGCGGGCUUGUGAUUGGACAGCGACUCAGCGGACACGGAAAGGGAAAUCGAUUCGGUUUAUGUGGGCUUUUGAUUUCCCAGGGAAAUCGAUUUGGUUCAUGCCAGCUUCUGAAAGCGAAAUCGAUUCUGUUUUACGUACACUUUUGAUAGGGAAUUCGAUUUGAUGUGCACCGGCUUCUGAAAGCAAAACCAAUAAGGUUUAUGUGGGCCGUUGACUUCUCAGGGAGAUCAGUUUGGUACACACGGGCCUCUGAAAGUGAAAUAGAUUCUGAUUUACGUAGGCUUUUGACACAGGAAUCAAUUUGGUGUGCGCAAGCUUCAGAAAGUGAAAUCGAUUUGGUGCCUACAGGCUUCUGAAAGGGAAGUGGAUUCGAAGUUCACGGUCUUCUAAAAGUGAAAUCGAUUCGGUUCACGCGGCUUCUAAAAGUGAAAUCGAUUCAAAGUGCACAGUCUUCAGAAAGCGAAAUCGAUUUGGUGCCUACAGGCUUCUGAAAGGGAAGUGGAUUCGAAGUUCACGGUCUUCUAAAAGUGAAAUCGAUUCGGUUCACGCGGCUUCUAAAAGUGAAAUCGAUUCAAAGUACACAGUCUUCUGAAAGUGAAAUCGAUUCGGUGUACGCAGGCUUCUGAAGGGGAUAUCGAUUUGCUGCACACAGGCUUCUUAAAGUAAAAUCAAUUUGGUUUACGCAGACGUCUGAAAUGAAAAUCGAUUUGGCAUAUUCUGGCCCCUAAAAACAAAAUCGACAGGACAGGAAAUUCGAUUUGAUGUGCACUGGCUUCUGAAAGCAAAACCAAUAAGGUUUAUGUGAGCCUUUGAUUUCCCAGGGAGAUCGAUUGGAUACACGUGGGCUUCUGAAAGUAAAAUCGAUUCGAUUUUCGUACAGUUUUGACAGGGAGAUCAAUUUGAUGUACACAGGAUUCUGAAAGCAAAACCAAUAAAGUUUAUGCGGGCCUUUGACUUCUCAGGGAGAUCAGUUUGGUACACACGAGCCUCUGAAAGUGAAGUCGAUUCUGUUUUAUGUAGGCUUUUGACACAGAAAUCAAUUUGGUGUGCGCAAGCUUCAGAAAGCGAAAUCGAUUUGGUGCCUACAGGCUUCUGAAAGGGAAGUGGAUUUGGUUUACGCAGGCUUCUUAAAGUAAAAUCAAUUUGGUUUACGUAGACGUCUGAAAUGGAAAUUGAUUUGGCACAUUCUGGCCCCUAAAAGCAAAAUCAAUUCGGUUUUCACAGAAUCUUGACAGGGAAUUCGAUUUGAUGUGCACUGGCUUCUGAAAGCAAAACCAAUAAGGUUUAUGUAGGCCUUUGAUUUCCCAGGGUGAUCAAUUUGGUACACAUGGGCUUCUGAAAGUGAAAUCGAUUCGGUUUUACGCAGGUUUAUGACACGGAAAUGAAUUUGGUGCACACAAACUUCAGAAAGGGAUGUUGAUUUAGCACGUACUGGCAUCUGAAAGCGAAAUCAGUUCAGUUUCAACAGGCUUUUGAUGGGGAAAUUGAUUUGGUGCACACAGUCUUGUAAAACUGAAAUCGAUUCGGUUUUUCGCAGGCUUUUGAUGGGGAAAUCGAUUUGAUGCAUGUAGACUUCUGAAAGCAAAAUCAAUAAGGUUUAUGCGGGCCUUCGAGUUCCCUGAGAGAUUAAUUUGGUACACACGGGCCUCUGAAAGUGAAAUCGAUUUUGUGUUAAGUAGGCUUUUGACAUGGAACUUAAAUUGCCGUGCGCACGCUUCUGAAAGUGAAAUCGAUUCAGUUUACGCAGGCUUCUGAAGGGGAUGUCGAUUUGCCACACACAGGCUUCUUAAAGUAAGAUCAAUUUGGUUUACGCAGGCAUCUGAAAUGGAAAUAGAUUUGGCACAUUCUGGGCCCUAAAAGUGAAAUCGAUUCGGCUUUUGACAGGGAAAUUGAUUUGAUGUGCACUGGCUUCUGAAAGCACAACCAAUAAGGUUUAUGUAGGCCUUUGAUUUCCCAGGGUGAUCAAUUUGGUACACAUGGGCUUCUGAAAGUGAAAUGAUUCGGUUUUACGCAGGCUUUUGACACGGAAAUCGAUUUGGUGUCCGCAGGCUUCACAAAGGGAAAUCAAUUCCGUUUUCAUGGACUUUUAACAUUGAAAUUGACAUGGUGCGCACAGGACUCUGAAAUUGAAAUCAAUUUGGUUUUCACAGGCUUCUGAAAGGGAAAUCAAUUCGGUUUUACGCAGGCUUUUGAUAGGGAAAUAGAUUUGUUGUGCACAGCCUUCUGAAAGCAAAAUCGAUUCGUUUUUCACAAACUUUUAACAUUGAAAUUGACCUUGUGCAUGCAGGACUCUGAAAUUGACAUGAAUUUGGCGCAAGGGCUUCUGAAAUCGAAAUCGAUUUGGUUUUCACAGGCCUUUGACAAGGAAAUGGAUUUGUUGUGCGCAGGAUUCUGAAAGCGAAAUCAAUUCAGUUUUCAGUUGAAUUUGACUUAGUGCACACAGGACUCUGAAAUCGAUUUGGCUUUCACAGGCCCUUGACACGGAAAUCGAUUUGGUGCACACAGGCGCCUGAAAGGAAAAUCGAUUCUCGAUUCAACCGAUGCGAGCUUCUGAAAGGGAAAGUGGCGCAGCGUGCGUGGUCGGGCUGAGCGAGUGAAACUGAUUCCAUGAAAGGGAACAAAAUCCUGGACUCGGUAUUCAGGUGUAGUUACUUAUCUUAUGUUCUUAUACAUAGCAGGCAUGUAUUUUUCCGCACAAUUUGUUUUUGAAAAUUCAGGGGGGGGGGGGGUGCAUCUUAAAUUUCAGGGCGUCUUAAACUUAGAACAAUACGGUAUUUCCAGAUGUCUUAUAAGUGCUUUCUCAAUGCAGAAUAACAGAAGAGAAAAACAU